rnacentral:rRNA from 1 species
UUUUCCUACGGGAGGCAGCAGUGGGGGAUAUUGCACAAUGGGGGAAACCCUGAUGCAGCGACGCCGCGUGAGUGAAGAGGUAUUUCGGUAUGUAAAGCUCUAUCAGCAGGGAAGAAAAUGACAGUACCUGACCAAAAAGCCCCGGCUAACUACGUGCCAGCAGCCGCGGUAAUACGUAGGGGGCAAGCGUUAUCCGGAUUUACUGGGUGUAAAGGGAGCGUAGACGGUUAUGUAAGUCUGGAGUGAAAGCCCGGGGCCCAACCCCGGGACUGCUUUGGAAACUGCCGGGCUAGAGUGCAGGAGGG